rnacentral:lncRNA from 1 species
AUAAUUCUAGUAAGAAGAAACCCGAUGUUGUAACUAAGGGUAUAAGUGAUGAUAUGAUAAAAAAAAAUAGCGUUAGAGAAAGCCAAGGAUAUUAUAAUAAAGAAUAAAACAUUGGAAUCGAGAAAAAGAGGAAUAAAAUUGAUAGAAGACCCAAAUGAAAAAACUAAACUCGAAAUAUUAAGUGAGAAGAAAAGAAAAAGAAAUGAAUUGGAAAAGAAUAAGCAAAGGUUUUUUUUUAAUGAUACAUGAAUUAUUAAAGUGGAAAUAUUAUGACUUGGAAUCGAUUAUCGAAUACAGAGAAGCUUUAAAAAAAGAAGUCCCAUUACGAUUUAACACCGGUGAAGAAUAUUAUAACUUUUUCAAACCUUUAGUAAUGGAAGAAUGCAGAGUUAGCAUUGUACAACAACUGUUCGGAUAUAUACGAAAAUAUGUUAUAAAAGUUAUUGGCACGGAAAUAAAGAACGAUUGGAUAACAUGGAAUUUCAGUACAUGUGAAGAAAAUAAAAGAAAAUUUGAAGAUAUGAAAGCAAUGGAUUUAGUUGUUCUAAUUCCUUUUGAUGAUAAUAAAAAUAGUGUUAUUAAUAAUAAUACAGAUAGUAUUAAAUAUGAAGAUUUAAAAAAAGAUUUUAGAAUUAAAAGAACAUGUGGUUGGAUUAAUUGAUGUUUCAUUAUUUAAAAAGGAUGUAAUUUAUGAAGUAAAAUUUGUGAACGAAGAUUGUUUUUUGUGAUAUUGAAGUAGGUUUUGUUAAAAAAAUUCAUUUAAACAAGACGAAAUGUGAUAAAUAUCAUGUUUUUAAUUUAUGUAAUAUAAUUACAAGUUUAAGAGAAUUUGAAAGUGUAUAUAUGACUAAAAAAUCGAGUAUAUUUGAAUAUAUUUUAAAUCCUGUUGAUUAUAAUUAUCCACCGGAAUAUCGUAAAGCUUUAAUGGAUAAUAAUACAUGUUCUAAUAUAAAUAUAAAAGAAAAGUUUGAAUUACAUAAAAAAAAAUUGUUAACAGAAAAUAGCACUGGUAUUUGUAAUACCGUUAGUGGUAAUACCAUUAUUGGUAAUACCAUUAUUGGUAAUAAAUAUGUAAGUGAAAUUAGAAAAAAUUUAUCA